CCGUGAUGCUAAUUACCCUAUGCCGAAUCUGAGAUGCUUUGAUGCGGUUUUCUCAUCGUGCCUGACG
rnacentral:snoRNA from 1 species